rnacentral:tRNA from 1 species
AUCGAGUUAGUUUAAAAAAAAUACUAGGAUGUGGGCUUAGAGAUAAAAUAGAUUUUACUUGAUA